rnacentral:rRNA from 1 species
AGUGAACGCUGGCGGUAGGCCUAACACAUGCAAGUCGAACGGCAGCACAGUAAGAGCUUGCUCUUACGGGUGGCGAGUGGCGGACGGGUGAGGAAUACAUCGGAAUCUACUUUUUCGUGGGGGAUAACGUAGGGAAACUUACGCUAAUACCGCAUACGACCUACGGGUGAAAGCAGGGGAUCUUCGGACCUUGCGCGAUUGAAUGAGCCGAUGUCGGAUUAGCUAGUUGGCGGGGUAAAGGCCCACCAAGGCGACGAUCCGUAGCUGGUCUGAGAGGAUGAUCAGCCACACUGGAACUGAGACACGGUCCAGACUCCUACGGGAGGCAGCAGUGGGGAAUAUUGGACAAUGGGCGCAAGCCUGAUCCAGCCAUACCGCGUGUGUGAAGAAGGCCUUCGGGUUGUAAAGCCCUUUUGGUGGGAAAGAAAAGCAGCAGGUUAAUACCCCGCUGUUCUGACGGUACCCAAAGAAUAAGCACCGGCUAACUUCGUG